AUCAAUUAUUAUAAUGAUUUUAAUGAAAAAAAUUUAAUAAUUUAUUUAUAAAUAUUUAUUAAAAAUAAAAUGGAAAAAACAGUCAUGCGCAGUUUGUCACGAACCUCAAUAGUACAUGUGAUCGGUAACAUCCUAGCGUGAAACCGGUGCAAUUGUAGUCACGUGAUAACGAAUAGCUCACAAUUCUCAGGACAGAUGCCGUUGCAAUCUUGAGAACUGCACAAUUUGGCAAAAACAUAAAAAGUGAAGUGGAUAAACAGCAAAGUUAUGUUGAAUUCAUUGGAUUCUAGGUGCGGUCGCGACCAAAGAUCCGUUAUGAUCCCACCUAAUGCAAACGCUCCAGCGAGUAAGAGGAUCGCAAACUUUAAACAUCACGUUUUAACUAGUACUAUACAUGUACACAUGUCAUAUGAUGGAAUGAUGUUUUCUUCUAUCAUUUAAAGAAAUAUCCAAUAUUACUAUAAAUGUUUAUAGCUGCAUAUAUUAGAAAUACUUCUUCAGAAAUUUACUUAUAUAUAUUAUUUAUAUGAUAAAGGUCAUCGGUUGUAUUUAGAAAAAAAUAUUCAAGUUUAUCAUUAAAGAGUAAUUAAAGAGUAAAAAUAGAAAAUCAAACUGCAAUUUGCUAUCUUUUAACAUUUUCACGGUUCAAAUUUCAAUAUUUCAAUGCAACAUCGUUAUACUUGAGAAAUAAUCGCAACAAUGUGCGUGAUUCAAAGUAAAAUUACCCAGCUGACUAGAUAUCCAGCUGACAAUUAUUCGAGUUUUCAUCUUUACGUAAUCGUCGCGAUCGCGCGUGGCCACAAACCAUAGGAUAGGCGAGGCAAGAAGAAAGAGGAAGCGAGAUAUCGGAUUUAGGCCGCCGUUCCAAACAACAAUAUAUAUGUAUGUAUGUAUAUAUGUAUGUAUGUAUAUAUGUAGAGGUGAAGCGGUCUCUGGACUAGGCAAGCCGAGCGAAAGAGCUGUGGCAAGGUCUAGGCUGGCUAGCAUUCAAGGUCGCAUGCACAGCGCAAAAGCCCCCGGAUCUAUCCCCGCUCCAGAUUUCUAGCGCCCUUUGCCUCUUCACCUUCUUUGUCGCUCUCACAUAUGCGUACACACAUUUUACUUUCCUCUCUCUUUCCCUCUUUCUCUCACUCCUCUAUCGUUUCUCCCUUCUCCUCGGUCAAUCGAGUCUCUUCUUGCUCUUUCCUAUAACACACUCUCGCUCCCUCCUCUUCCCCUCAUUCCAUCCUCUUCCCUCUUUCUCUCAGCCCCUUCCUAAUCGCCUGCUAUUCCCCUCUCACGCCGCUUUGCCCUUUCCGCGUGCAACAUCGAUUUACUCAUAAAAAUUCCCCGCGUUCAACUUUAUCACUCGUCUAUUACUUCCUGGUCGAUGUUCGACGUCUCUCGUUCUCGAAUUUAUCGUUGUAAUAAAUGCAACAAAAGCAUGAUCGAUUCGUGGGGUAAUUUAGCAGCAAUACCUGACGUUACUUGAGUUGCUUAUUUACAUGUCUUCUCAUGCAUUCGCAUAUACAUAUAUGCGGAGUAGGCACGUGUAUUAUUGACACGCGCGACUUGCCAGCUAGGUAUAAAGAGGAACAAGGAUGUGCUGAGUCUAGUAAAGAAACGGAAUCUCUGACUCGCAAGCGCAAACUAUUCAAACUUGCUUUAUCCCGCAAUCUUAUACGAGUAAAGUAGUAACAUGGAAUGAAAAAUAGUUUUAUGGAAUUUAUCAUUAGUUAUAAAUAAAUGGUUCAUUUAAAGAUGCUUGUAAUUACACAAAGAUCAAAUCCAGCGUAUAAUUAUAAAUAUCAAGUAAUUCAAUUUAUGCGUACAACUAUUAUGAUUGAAUAAUGUUUAAAUGUGAUGUUGUUUAUUAGAAUAUAGAGAGAAAUUCAAUGAUUAAUAUCAAAAAUAUUAAUAUCAAAUCUUUAAAUGUUUUUACCUCUUUAUAACUAUGAAUAUUGCAUAUUGCAUUGCAUAUUGCAUGUUUAUUAUGAUAUAAUUUAAUAAUAGAUAACGUUUUAUUUAUUUAUUCUCAUUUAUUUGUCUUUUCCUCUCAAAAGCAGAAAGGAAACUGAGUAGGAUGUUGGAUAUCUCCUCUUCGAGCACAAUACACAACUUGUUGAAAUUUACUUGUAGCAAACAAAGGGCCAAUGUAUAUUAUCAUGACAGUACCUUCAAAAGUGGAAUUUUCAUCCAUAAGAAACAUUAUAAGCGAGAUCAAGUUUAUUAUAACGUAUAUAUAUAUAUAUAUAUAUAUCACUUCAUUUGAAUGUGAAUUAUUUGUUAUGGAAAUUCUUAGAGAGUAGAAUGCCAGAAUAUAGAUUUCGCCAUUAUUUACCUCUCAGAUCUGCUCUCCAACAAAUUUCAACCAAUAUUCUGAAUAUACUUAAUCAAUGUAGAUAUUAUAGCCGCGAUGUUCCAACACGAUUCCAUAUAUACCGUUGACCUAGAUUAGACAUUAAGCGAAGAGAUUCGCAUUCCCCGUUUCCCUCCAAGCAUGAUGCCUUUGAAAGAAACAGAUACAUCAACGCGCGUUUUAUAACCGCGAAACGAGUCCUGUGAUCCGAGAAACAGGCGUAGUAGCAUUUUAGCGACGCAAAAAAUGCGAGGUGAAACUAGAUUUCCGAGUAGGUUAAUAUGGAAGCUGAGCAAAGAAUUCCUUGUCGCAGGACUCGCGUCGACCACUCCCAUGGAGGAAAAAAAAUAGAGACAGAAACUGUAAGAAACGGAGAUGGAAGAGGAGAGGUGUGAAAUAGAGUGUGUGGAAUGAGUCUGUGAAAAAGAGAGAUCAAUAAAUAAUUUUGAACUAGUGAACGGACAGAAAGCCAUCGAUUGAAAUUUUCAUCAUGCUUUCGCACGCGCAUGUUCGUUCAAUUAUUUAUUCACGGAAUAGCGAGCGGACAAGCGGGCGUCGUUGUUGGCGAGCAAACGAGCGAGCGAACUGUGGGGGGAAGGAGGGGAAACGAGAAAGAAAAAAAAGAAAAAACAAAGAACAAGAUCCAAAAUUUUCAGACGUUGUGGAAAGUUUCGUUGUAACGUCAUCGAAAGGCUAAUGCCGCUCCUCCCCGCGAUACCGUUUUCUUUCUUCGCAGUUCUUCAAACUUGGCGAAGAUAGCUCGGUAUACAACUAAUUUCACAUUUAGCGUUCACGCGUCGAAUUUAAACUAACACGUGAUCCUCGCCGCGUUAUUAUUAGGUGUACCAUAUAAAGCGUAGCCGGUGGUUUCUAGCGAAUUUCUGUUCCGGCCGUUUUGUGUUUUAAUAUCGCUGGCGUUCACGUUCGCGUCACCGUGGCGUCCACGCGCUUUAAAAUUCAUUUCACGAAGUGCAGCAGCGUCGGGUUUGAAAAAGGGCGACGCACACGUCGUCGUCCUCGACGUUUUCAACGGCAGGUUCGCGUUACACAAGCGCGUGGAAUUACAAUAUCGGAUUUCAUUUUCCGUCAUAGCAGCGUAGAUUUCUCGGAGAAAGAGGCGGAACGCUCCCAAGUGAAAUUUGCCGCGCGGUGAACGGUUUUGCGCGAUCACCGCUUCUCCUGUCCUCGUUUGGAGAGGACAAGUAGUAUAUUCUAUACUAACAACAGAGCUAGGAUGCCUAGCCGUUUCCUUUGACCACGAUAUAGUUGGUUGAAAAUGCUUUCAGAGGCGUGGCCGAGCAGCGAUGUAUCCGGAGAAGAGAACACUCGUUUAUGAAGCUGUCUUGGAAACGGGAGUCGGCCUCCAAAUCACGAUUAACCAUCCAUUUUUCUCACGACCACUAUACGCGUCGUGAUCAACACAAUUUUUCUAACCUGUUGAACACCGAGUGGCAAACGGCAAUGAUAUUCAAUGCAAUUCAAGACAACGCUUAUCCUCUCCGCUCAACCGGCCUGUAAAAGGGAAUCUUUGUCAACUCGCCUCGUUAUUCGUCUGCUCGCUCGAAGACCGAUACACCGACGCAUAAAUGCGUGCAUUUUUCGUACGGUAUCUGAAUCCGCAUUCAUGGGAAGAGGAUACGAUGAUAUGGAAGCGGUGUAUUCAGCCAGGAAUCAGCAGGUUGAAUUCCGUAGAAAUUUUCGUGGCUUUCCCAACGGGCAAUAACGUGGAUUCGGCCAUCGUUUAUCACCACUUGUAGCUCCAUUCUGGCCGACCAAACCGUUCCCUCGCGAGGGAAGAAGACACGAGGACUGAACCAUCCCGUUUCUGCGACGGUUGUUUAGCCGGGUCAUGACGCAUGUACAUACCCUCUUUCAACCCCUUAUUUUCAGACCGUUUUUCCAGGUAUCGUUACCAUUAUCUUCUCUCGUCACCGCUGCUAGUAUCUCUUCCCUUUCUUUUCUUCUUUUCUCUCUCUCUCUUCUUUCAUCUCCCUUCUCUCUCUAUUUUCCUCUGCUCACUUUCCGAGCGAAUUGAGGGCUCGACGACGACGACGACGACACGAAUACGCCUGUGUAAACCGUCCCAUUCUCCUGCACCCAUGUAUACCUAUAUACAACUGCUGUUUCCCGACGUACGAGGGAGACAGUGGUCUGGCACGCGACUCCCGUGGCUUCCUCCACGUUCCCAUUCUACUUUUGCUCCAUCGACGCACAGCUGAUCCUUCCUCCCUCUGGUGUCUGGCCAGAUACCAUCCUCACCCUAGAGGGGGAAAAAAGAGAAAAGAGA